rnacentral:lncRNA from 1 species
GGGACAGAGACAGGCAUCGGCCAACCAAAUGGCAUUCAGCAACCUCAAACUGGCGCUGGCAGUGAACAAGCAAAAUGAACAUGACUGCCCCUCAUGAGCGCCCCAUGUGGAUGGAAGGGUGUGCUGGGCCACUGCCCCCCAUGGCCCACCCCGAGGAAGAGUCCCCAGGCAGAAACCGCCUGCCGGGCAGUGGGACCUCGGGCUCUAGGCAGGUCUGCCCAGUCACACCUGUGGUCACACACAGCAAGGAUUUACAGCAGCAGAGAGAGCAGAUCAGCAUCCAGACACUGGGGACAGGACCUGCCUGCUCUCCCCACAGAUGAAAAGCCCUGUCCACAAACACGCCCACCCACCUACAGCCCUCACAAAGGGGGUGGGACUCAAUUCCAGCCAGGAGCAUGAGAAUAGAAGAGCUGCAGAGGUGGCAGGAGGUAGGUCCACACCCAGGGAAGGAGGGAGGAGAGGAGG